AAAAAAGAAACAGGAUGGUCUUUUUAAAAACAGGUUUGAGAUAAGGAAAAAAUUGAUUCUAUCAGCUUGGCAAAAACACCUCCUGCAGCACAAAAACUCCACGAACGUCUGUGUGUGCCUUCACUGGGAACGAGGAGAGGGAGUCAGAGGGCAGCGAGGCCGGGCAGCGAGGGAGGCAGAGCCCCUCUGUUGGUGUGGGGUGGAGGCAGCCUUUUAUCCUGCGCCUCCGGUGCUGUGGCUGGGAAGGCAAGGUACUCAUGCCACCCUCCAAGGUGAAGAGAAGACCCACCUGCUUUUCUCUGCCAUCACCAGAUCCUCCCAGGCACUCUCCCCACAGUCGGUCCAGCCAGGCACACUCGGCCUGAUCUAGUGAUUCAAGCUGUCUUUCCAGGACUUGGCCUCUGCAGAGAUGGGGCUCUCUGUGUUGUCCAGGCUGGUCUCGAACGUGUGGGCUCAAGCCAUCUUCCUGCCUCCGCCUCCCAAACUGCUGGGAUUGCAGGUGUGAGCCACCACGCCCAGCCAUAAAUAAAUGUUUUCAAAAGCAUCAAGUAGUCCCUCUGAUUUUUAAAUGAUAAUGCUAGUUCUGAUGAGUUGACGACACUAAGCAGUGUGGACCUUUACUGGAGUCUCAGUAAUGUCAGCUUCCAGCUCUGAGGACGGAGCUGCAGACGUUAUGACGGCUGACCAGAAGCGUUUGUGUCGGGGACUAGGGAGGGCAGUGAUUUGGGCACCAUGAACACAGUGAGACACGGACGGGUGCAGGAAGAGGGCAGUAACAGAGUAACCCGGGAAUGCCGUCCCCACCUCCCAGGAAGGGAUCCAUUUCCCCAGAGGACAGAGGCCUGC
rnacentral:lncRNA from 10 species